CAGGCAUUUUCCUCUGGAUAUGUCGUUGUCAAUCUCGAAGGUUGAAUCCAUAAAAGAUUGAUUCUCCGAGCCACAUGUACCCAAACAGUUCCCAGGGCUUGCUGAUUGGUCGGUAUCAUGAGUUGGUAAUAUUGCUCCAAAGGAUUUUGUAACCCACUCCUUUGAAGUCAUGUUCCCGUCAUCUUUAUCUUUUUGAUUAGCUUCUACAUCAAUUGUCUUUUCGACUUUACCAUUUGUUACCAUUGCUUGUAUCUCCUCUUCUUGAUUAAGUGCUUGAAAUUUGUUCGCCACAUUAAUAGGGAGUGUGCUGUCCCUAUUGACUAGUUUGCGGUUGUCUCGCACAACAUUCCACUUCCCUGGAUCCCCCACUAUUUUGCCACUGGAAAGGACCCUAUCUUUUCCUUUCUGAAAUGUAUGCACCUGUUGCUUCUGCGUUUCUUGCGAAUGGUC